GGUCACGUGAUGGAGUUGGUCACCAUACCUGUCUAACAAUUCGGCGUUCUACGCCCAAGUGCCACACAGGAGGUCGGCGGUUCGAUCCCGCCCGGGAUCA